UCCAAAGACUUUCGAUGGAGGACGGUC
rnacentral:sRNA from 1 species